rnacentral:rRNA from 1 species
GCAGUCGAGGGGUAUAGUUCUUCGGAACUAGAGACCGGCGCACGGGUGCGUAACGCGUAUGCAAUCUACCUUUUACAGAGGGAUAGCCCAGAGAAAUUUGGAUUAAUACCUCAUAGUAUAUAGCCCUGGCAUCAGGAUUAUAUUAAAGUCACAACGGUAAAAGAUGAGCAUGCGUCCCAUUAGCUAGUUGGUAAGGUAACGGCUUACCAAGGCUACGAUGGGUAGGGGUCCUGAGAGGGAGAUCCCCCACACUGGUACUGAGACACGGACCAGACUCCUACGGGAGGCAGCAGUGAGGAAUAUUGGACAAUGGGCGCAAGCCUGAUCCAGCCAUGCCGCGUGCAGGAUGACGGUCCUAUGGAUUGUAAACUGCUUUUAUACGAGAAGAAACACUCCUUCGUGAAGGAGCUUGACGGUAUCGUAAGAAUAAGGAUCGGCUAACUCCGUGCCAGCAGCCGCGGUAAUACGGAGGAUCCAAGCGUUAUCCGGAAUCAUUGGGUUUAAAGGGUCCGUAGGCGGUUUAAUAAGUCAGUGGUGAAAGCCCAUCGCUCAACGGUGGAACGGCCAUUGAUACUGUUAGACUUGAAUUAUUAGGAAGUAACUAGAAUAUGUAGUGUAGCGGUGAAAUGCUUAGAGAUUACAUGGAAUACCAAUUGCGAAGGCAGGUUACUACUAAUUGAUUGACGCUGAUGGACGAAAGCGUGGGUAGCGAACAGGAUUAGAUACCCUGGUAGUCCACGCCGUAAACGAUGGAUACUAGCUGUUGGAAGCAAUUUCAGUGGCUAAGCGAAAGUGAUAAGUAUCCCACCUGGGGAGUACGUUCGCAAGAAUGAAACUCAAAGG